AUAGCAUUUCAGAGUUGGCGGCCGCGCGCGCUCAGGGGCUGCUAAGCCUCGCGAGACCAGGACCCAUUGGGGUCGCUGAUGUUACGGGGUCGCGCGGGGUGUCAUCUUGGCUACGGCUCUGUUAGUUCCACAGUCCGAUGCUGCGGUCUGUUUGCUUCUUUCCCACCGAGAGGGAAGGCAGAGGAAGUGCCCCGCAAGCGGAGUAGGGAGAAUGAGGACCAACCGAAGGUUAAACGGCCCUGCGGGCGUCCCCCGGCUCUAAAGCCAGGCUCUCAGCAGUGGUUAAAGUGGAGGCCGCUGCAGCUUGAGCAGCGUCUUAGGCCGAGCGGAGGGAUGGGCGUACUGCUCCCGGGCCAAAGACGUUUUAAGAGGAGGCGGAGGGUCAUGGCUCUGGAAGACGAAAUGAAAAUUCUCGAUAACCUGGAGGAAGGCGUGAGUAAAGGCGGCGUGGGGCGCCCUUUGGGCGUCAGUCAGGCAACCACACGGAUCCUGAAGCAAAACGAGAAGGCCAUCAGGGCCAGCAUAUUUCGCCAUCUACUCCAGGUGCUGUGCAUUCCCCGUGUCGUAAACAUUGAGAAGAUGGAGACUUGCGUUAAUCUUUUGGGUGUAGGAUUAGACCAAAGGGGGCCGGUCUCUGACGCCGAAGGCCAGCUGCGGGGGCAACCCAGAGAAGUUUUCAGCGUACAAGGGAUGGUUUGAGAAGUGGGGAAGUGGCUGUAGUCUGAGAAAUUCGAAGUUGGUGGGGGAGGAAGAACCGUUAAAUACCCAGUCGGCUCUCAUGUAUUCCAAGCAACUCCAGAAACUGAGGGGAGCCGGAGGCUUUGUGUCUCAGUAGGUCUUCAACGCCAAGGAGAUGAGCCUGUUUUGAAAGUGCUUUCCUUCGUGUGUUUUUGGGGAAAGAAACAAAAAUCCGGAAAGUUUAGAGGAAGCUAAGGAUAGAUUUUCCCUCAUUUUUUGUGCCAUCGAUGCAGGUGAGAAAAUGAUAAAAAUCGUUGCUGCUUUAUGAAGAUCCUAAUCCUACUUGUCUUGUGGAAAAAAAUAAACGCCUUCCUGUUUUCUGGCGGUCACUAACAGUAUCUUUAACAGCUGUCAUCAUUUUGGAUUGGUUUCCUAAUUGUCUUACUCAUCGAACCUGGAAUUAUUUAACAAAAAAAAAUCUUUUUUAGGGCCACAGGUGCGCCAUAUGGAAGUUCCCAGGCUAGGGGUCACAUCGGAGCUGCAGCUGCCAGCCUCCCCACAGCCAUGUAGGAUCCGAGCUGGGUCUGCGACCUACACCACAUGGCAAGCCAGAUCUUUAACCCACUGAACGAGGCCAGAGAUUGAAGCCGCAUUCUCAUGGAUACUAGCUGGGUUCAUUUCUGCUGAGCCACAACAGGAACACCCCAGAAAAAAAUCUUGAAUUCAGUGUUGCUAACUUUGGACCGGUGUCCCAAUUACCUAGACUCAUAUUCUUUGUUCAUUCUAAUGUUGAUAUUGUGUUUCUCCCUCUGGAAAGCACUAACUAUCUUCAGCCCUUGGAUCAGGGUAUAGUUGAAGCUUUCAAGAGGUUCUGCACGGAGCGUGUAUUUGACCACUUUGCUGACUCUAUUGAAAAAAAAGCCUUGCUGAUGCUUUGGUAGUAAUAAAAGAGGUGAGGGAUGAUAAAAAACCAGCUGCUCUUAAUAAAGCCUAGUGGAAACUUUGGGAUGAUGCUGGUGAUUAUGCAUGUUUCCCUAGAGCUAAUGAAGAGGUUGAAAAACAGUCUGCAAAAUGGAUGGGUUUUCAAUUCAUUGAUAUCGAUGAAAGUAAAAUUAAUGAGCUACUUGUUUCAAGCUUUGGCAAUAACAGUCUGUAUCUGUAGAUGAGGAAGAAGACAAAUCUCUGGAACCAGAGAUAAAGAUGAACCUAAGGAAACCAAAUACUGUCUUAUACUAGGCGCCAGACCUCAUUGAUGCAGUUGAUACGGAUUCUUUCCUGGCUGGAAGUUUGGCUUUUACAAAAGAUUUUAGUAAAUUGUAUACUUAUAAAGAGGUGCAAAAGAACCUUCAAAAUUAAGCAGAGAGUUGAAGAGAAAGGAAGACACAAACAAAAAGAAGUGUGUGAAAAAAAUGGUACAGAAUCUGAAGAGUCUUGAGGCCGGAUCUGAAUCCAGUAAGGAGGAGGAAAGAAAGAAAGAGGGUAAGAAGUGUCCAGAAGAGCUUGGAGCCUCAGGUAGUGAGUGGCUCUGAGACUUACCAUAUCUUAAGAAUCUGCCAAAGGCUUAAAUGGACUUUUGGAGUCUAAUCUUGGAAUUGAAUCUGGAGAGAGUAGAAGUGCCUGAGUUGAAGCAAGAAAAGACUAUAAAGAUGGUUUCUUCCAAAUAACAGUUCAUCUCUUGCCAUCCUUCCCUGUUACCCCAACAUUACCUUCAUCAUGACCAUCCUUAUAAUCACCAGUCACGCAUCCAUGUCAUGUGAUCACUUGACAAACAUUUGUUGAGCAUAAUCUGUGCGGGGUCCUGUGCUGAACUCUGGGACAUCAUCUCAGAAUCUAAGGGCGAUACUGGAUAAGAAGCUGGCUGCCUCUGUGAACAUCCUGCCUAAGGCAUCCUCACUGUACUUUUGGAAUGGAGAAAUAGAAGAAGCCACUGAGAUCCUAUUGAUAAUAAAGACAAAGACUUCCAAGGUCCGUUUGCUGUCCAGCUAUAUCAGGUUGGUGCAUCCUUUUGAAAUCCCGGAGAUCUUCAGUCUUCCCAUGGACCAAGGAGAUGUGCACUAUUUAAAGUGGCUGGAGGAGGGCAUGGAGGAGGAAUGAGUAGGGGCUUCUUGUUCAUCCUGCUGGCUUCCUCUGGCCUUCAUCAGCUACUCUCUGGAGGAGGAUAGGCUUCUUUUUGCCUCCUAGCAUCUUUGGAUUCCAAGCUUUUGUCAGCACAGAGGAGCUAAGUAACUUGUGAAGGAUGAAGGUCCAAGGUUCCUGAGGCUGGAAGAGGACCCUGGGCCAAACUAAGCAAGAACCCAGUGGAACUUGUCUCGGAAUGCAUCAUAUUUAAAGGUGGCCGGGGGGAGGGUGAAGAUGACUGUGUGUAGGGGCCAAGGAGAGGUGGCACUGAGGGUGAGGUUUGUCACCUGCAGUCACUGAGCCUAUAUUGAACACCUAGUUAGUUAUUAUUCUCCUGCUUCUCUGAGGAUUGGACCCAAUGACCUGCUACCCAGAAGUGUGUGGAAUGACUGCCACCUUCUAGGGGAACUUGGAAGAGCUUUAUCCAAAAGGAUGAAUUGUUCAUGGAAUUUCAGGGACAAGCAGGAUUGUUUCUCUUAGCUAGAGGAGGUGUUUGUUGUUAUUCCUGAGUCCUGAGGAAGUGAGACUGGGUUUCCUGAGUACAUGUAGGACUGGGGGAAUCUUAGGGCUUAGACAUAGCCUCACAGGGUGGGAGCUGACUCUGCUAGCCUGAAUGUGACUGACAUCAGAAGAUCCUGGUGCCUUGUCCAGUGGAGACAUAGAUUCUGAGCCCACUACACUUAACCUUUCCACCUGAGCAUUGGAACUGAGCAUCCUGAAAUAGGAAGAAUCGUGGGGAACUGCUGCCCGGGGUUUUUCAGACUUGCUCCGCAGAGCCCCAGCGGUUCACAGAGGUACCCUGGGGGCUACCUGGGUGGGGGUUAAGGGUGUGAGGCCCCCUACUCAUACUUAAGCUGGUACCGAUGUGCUUUUAUUAUUUUUAUGUAUCGAGCUAGGUCUUUGUUAAAAGUUUGUAAACCAGUAGCCUAAGCCAGUCUCCAUUUAGAUUGCUAAAGGAAACUGAACUGCACUGAGGUCCCCAAGGGGGUGGCAUGUUGCCUUACAGAUGGUACAGCCAGGGCUGCUCCUUCUGUCUGGUGCUGUCUGCUGCUCUGUGGAUGUCAGGUGGAGGAGGACAGGGAGGGCAGAGCCCUGUGGGGUGAGAAGAGAGACUUGACCUGGCUUUGUCACAAGGUGCCUCCACUCUGGGGGCACCAUGGGAAGUUUAGAUGGGGGUCCACAGACACCUGUGGAAUCCUGUGUCUUCCCAGAGGGAAGAGUGUGUGGGAGGGAUACAGCCAGGCUCUGGUUCUGACACCUUCUGUGCUUCUUGGAUCUGAAACUAAUGAGGAAGACAGGGAGGGAGGCUCUCUAAGGGCCCUUCCUUGAAGACCUUUUAGGAACUUUAGGCUGAGCCCCUUCCAAAGGUCCAGAGGUUCCUCUAUGUGACAGCCAGUGGGAAUUUGGAAGGGCUGCCCCAGGAUAAGAAAGAGAAUGAUAAUGAUAAUGGUGAUGUCCUUUUUUAUGACAGAUAUUUCUGGUGCAGAUGAAAAUCUUGUGUAAAAUAAACCCUACCUGAAAAUCUUGUGUAAAGUAAACCCUACCAAAAAUGUACUGAGGAGCCUAAAUGGACUGCAUGUGUUGCUUUCAGGAUAAAGUCCAAUUUUUUGGUCUGGCUUUCAAGGCUCUUUUAGCCUUGCCUCAACUCACUUUUUCCAUCUUUACCUUCCACCUCUCCUCUCCUCCGCUGGCACAUGCGUGGCUCCAGUGUGCUGUGCUGCUACCCCUGUGUUCAGGCCAUCCUGUGUACUUGAGUGCCCUCCUGCAUAAGAGCUUGUGAGAUUUGGUUGCUCCUCUGCAAGGCCUGGCAGCCCUGGUUGGAAGGACUCUCUUGUGCCUUGGCAUCCUAUUAGCCCUUUGCAACACAUUCUCCUGUUUCUAGACUAUGAGCUGCUGGAGGUAAGGGGUACAUUUGAAUCUCUUUGAUCUUGUGCUCAGGGUUUGGCACAUGUUUCCCAAAUUGGUGUAUCAAGGAUUUGAAUAGCUAAAGCUUUCUUUAUAGUUCAGCUACCUUCCUACUUAUGGAAUUGGGAAAAUCCACCUUUUUUCCUUGAACUUUGUUAAAGUGGGGAUAAUUCCAAAGACUUUUCUUUCUAUCUCUGGCCUUCCUUGGGUCAUUUUGUAUGCUGAUGUGCACUGAAAACGGUUUUUGGGUGGUUUCCUUUACCCCGGUGUCACAACUAUAGGACAUAGAGGACAGGGACAAAACACAGCUCUCUUUGUCAGGUACUGUCUUAAGUUCUCAACGUAUUUUACCCUUAUAACUCAGUGUCAUCUUCACUUUUCAGAUGAAACCUGAGAUCAGAGAGCAGGAGACACUUAAAAUUAAAUGGCAGAGGGAGUUCCCGUCGUGGCUCAGUGGUUAACGAAUCCGACUAGGAACCACGAGAUUGCGGGUUCGAUCCCUGGCCUUGCUCAGUGGGUUAAGGAUCUGGCGUUGCCGUGAGCUGUGGUGUAGGUUACAGACACGACUCGGAUCCCGCGUUGCUGUGGCUCUGGUGUAGGCCAGCAGCUACAGCUCCGAUUAGACCCCUAGCCUGGGAACAUCCAUAUGCUGUAGGAGUGGCCCUAGAAAAGGCAAAAAGACCAAACAACACAACAACACACACACACACACAUUAAGUGGCAGAGCUAGGCUCUGAACCCAAGCAUCUGAUUCUAAAUCUGAUGCUCUUACUGCCUCUUUCAAAGAGGUUGGAUAUAUAUAUCCCUUUGUAGGCCAAAGACCCAGAGAGCCCACUGUGGCCAACUCUAAAGGAAGAGUUUUCUGUUCCUAAAACAUCUCUGUGGUAAUUGGUAUAUUACAUUGUUUACUCCUCCCCACAGAUCUGGAGGUUGGUGAUAAAUAUUUCCAUUCAACAGGUGAGGGAACAGAUUUAGAGAGGUUUAAUUUUUAGUGUUUUCAUGACUCCAACUUACAUGGCUUGACUACUGUGCCACACUUUCCUUCUGGUUGCUGCUGAGGGAGCUGGAACUAGAACCUAGAUUAGGGUUUCCACAUGGGAAUUCCUUCCCAGCAUUUCUCAGGAAAUGUUUUUUGAGUCCGAAAUCCCUGGGAGAAUCAGUUGAGGAAAUGAGAAAGAGUAUUAAUUAAAAUUAUCUAUGAAUACUAAAGCUUAAAAGCAUAGAGACGUUACUGGUUUGAAGGAAUCCAUCUUCAUCAAAUAAAAGAAACUAGAGCAAGACAUUGUAACAUACAGAGUUGAAGGUUAGAGAACCAGGACAGGAACACGUAGGAGGAAAGGGUUUCCAUCUAGUCAGUCUUGCCUAUGAUUGUUGCCAUGUCCUGAAUGUCAUCAAGUGUGUGUAUCUAGCCCUGUCUGCUGUCAAUCGUGAAUUAUUCUCACAAACAAGGUAAGUUCAUAAACGUAGUAUACUUUAUACAAAUCCUACCAAUGGCAUUCCAAGAAAUAAGCUUUGGAAGCAAAAUAAAUUCUUAAUUUGGCAAAUGUGA